AUUGAACGCUGGCGGCAGGCCUAACACAUGCAAGUCGGACGAGCGGCGGACGGGUGAGUAAUGUAUGGGGCUCUGCCUGAUGGCGGGGGAUAACUACUGGAAACGGUAGCUAAUACCGCAUACCAUCAGAUGAACCCAUAUGGGAUUAGCUAGUAGGUAAGGUAACGGCUUACCUAGGCGACGAUCCCUAGCUGGGCUGCCAGGAUGAUCAGCCACACGGGGACUGAGGCCCGGCCCAGACUCCUAGGGGAGGCAUCAGUGGGGAAUAAUGCACAAUGGGGGGAAUCCUGAUGCAGCCAUGCCGCGUGUAUGAAGAAGGCCUUCGGGUUGUAAAGUACUUUCAGUCGGGAGGCGUUCCCGACAGAAGAAGGACCGGCUAACUCCGUGCCAGCAGCCGCGGUAAUUC
rnacentral:rRNA from 1 species